CCUAACACAUGCAAGUCGAACGGUAACAGGAAGAAGCUUAGCUUCUUUGCUGACGAGUGGCGGACGGGUGAGUAAUGUCUGGGAAACUGCCUGAUGGAGGGGGAUAACUACUGGAAACGGUAGCUAAUACCGCAUAACGUCGCAAAACCAAAGAGGGGGACCUUCGGGCCUCUUGCCAUCGGAUGUGCCCAGAUGGGAUUAGCUAGUAGGUGGGGUAACGGCUCACCUAGGCGACGAUCCCUAGCUGGUCUGAGAGGAUGACCAGCCACACUGGAACUGAGACACGGUCCAGACUCCUACGGGAGGCA
rnacentral:rRNA from 1 species